GGGCCCGUGGGGGUAACGGUAACCUCAGCUGGCUUGACAUCAGCAGAUGCCGGUUCGAUUCCGGUCGGGUCCACCA
rnacentral:tRNA from 1 species